rnacentral:rRNA from 1 species
UACAGAGGUCUCAAGCGUUGUUCGGAUUCAUUGGGCGUAAAGGGUGUGUAGGUGGCUCCGUAAGUCGGGUGUGAAAUUUCGGAGCUUAACUCCGAAACUGCAUUCGAUACUGCGGUGCUUGAGGACUGGAGAGGAGACUGGAAUUCAUGGUGUAGCAGUGAAAUGCGUAGAGAUCAUGAGGAAGACCAGUGGCGAAGGCGGGUCUCUGGACAGUUCCUGACACUGAGGCACGAAGGCCAGGGGAGCAAACGGG